rnacentral:rRNA from 1 species
CCUACGGGUGGCAGCAGUGGGGGAUAUUGCACAAUGGGGGGAACCCUGAUGCAGCGACGCCGCGUGGGUGAAGAAGCGCCUCGGCGCGUAAAGCCCUGUCAGCAGGGAAGAAAAUGACGGUACCUGAAGACGAAGCCCCGGCUAACUACGGGCCAGCAGCCGCCGUAAUCCGUAGGGGGCAAGCGUUAUCCGGAUUUACUGGUUGUUAAGGGGGCGCAGACGGCGAUGCAAGCCAGGAGUGAAAUCCAGGGGCCCAACCCCAGGACUGCUCGUGGAACUGCGUGGCUGUAGUGCAGGAGGGGCAGGUGGAAGUACUGGUGUAGCGGUGAAAUGCGUAGAUAUCAGGAGGAACACCGGUGGCGAAGGCGGCCUGCUGGACUGCAACUGACGUUGAGGCCCGAAAGCGUGGGGAGCAAACUGGAUUAGAUACCCUAGUAGUC